UGGACGCAAGUCUGAUGGAGCAACGCCGCGUGAGUGAAGAAGGUUUUCGGAUCGUAAAGCUCUGUUGUUGGUGAAGAAGGAUAGAGGUAGUAACUGGCCUUUAUUUGACGGUAAUCAACCAGAAAGUCACGGCUAACUACGUGCCAGCAGCCGCGGUAAUACGUAGGUGGCAAGCGUUGUCCGGAUUUAUUGGGCGUAAAGCGAGCGCAGGCGGAAGAAUAAGUCUGAUGUGAAAGCCCUCGGCUUAACCGAGGAACUGCAUCGGAAACUGUUUUUCUUGAGUGCAGAAGAGGAGAGUGGAACUCCAUGUGUAGCGGUGGAAUGCGUAGAUAUAUGGAAGAACACCAGUGGCGAAGGCGACUCUCUGGUCUGCAACUGACGCUGAGGC
rnacentral:rRNA from 1 species